rnacentral:rRNA from 1 species
UACAGAGGUCUCAAGCGUUGUUCGGAUUCAUUGGGCGUAAAGGGGUGCGUAGGCGGCGCGGUAAGUCGGAUGUGAAAUCUCGGAGCUUAACUCCGAAACUGCAUUCGAUACUGCCGUGCUUGAGGACUGGAGAGGAGACUGGAAUUUACGGUGUAGCGGUGAAAUGCGUAGAUAUCGUAAGGAAGACCAGUGGCGAAGGCGGGUCUCUGGACAGUUCCUGACGCUGAGGCACGAAGGCCAGGGGAGCAAACGGG